UCGGAGAGGGAGCCUGAGAAACGGCUACCACAUCUAAGGAAGGCAGCAGGCGCGUAAAUUACCCACUCCCAGUUCGGGGAGGUAGUGACGAAAAAUAACAAUACAGGACUCAUAUCCGAGGCCCUGUAAUUGGAAUGAGUACACUUUAAAUCCUUUAACAAGGACCAAUUGGAGGGCAAGUCUGGUGCCAGCAGCCGCGGUAAUUCCAGCUCCAAUAGCGUAUAUUAAAGUUGUUGCGGUUAAAACGUUCGUAGUUGAAUUUGUGCUUCAUACGGGUAGUACAACUACAAUUGUGGAUUGUACAUUACCUUAUGUAUGCAAGCGUAUUAUCGGUGGAGUUCUAAUAUAUAAUGGUACUUGUAUCAUUAUAUAUACCUCCUAUUUAAACCUGCUUCAGUGCUCUUCAUCGAGUGCUGUUGUGGGCCGAUACAAUUACUUUGAACAAAUUAGAGUGCUUAAAGCAGGCUCCAAAUGCCUGAAUAUUCUGUGCAUGGAAUAAUGAAAUAAGACUUCUGAUCUACUUUCAUUGGUUUUUAGAUCAAGAGGUAAUGAUUAAUAGAAGCAGUUUGGGGACAUUAKUAUUACGACGCGAGAGGUGAAAUUCUUGGACCGUCGUAAGACUAA
rnacentral:rRNA from 1 species